GCCGGCAUAGCUCAGGGGUAGAGCAACUGAUUCGUAAUCAGUAGGUCGUAGGUUCAAUUCCCACUGCCGGCACCA
rnacentral:tRNA from 2 species